GAUGAACGCUAGCGGGAGGCCUAACACAUGCAAGCCGAGCGGUAUUGUUACUUCGGAAAUGAGAGAGCGGCGUACGGGUGCGGAACACGUGUGCAACCUGCCUUUAUCUGGGGGAUAGCCUUUCGAAAGGAAGAUUAAUACUCCAUAAUAUAUUGAACGGCAUCGUUUGAUAUUGAAAGCUCCGGCGGAUAGAGAUGGGCACGCGCAAGAUUAGCUAGUUGGUGAGGUAACGGCUCACCAAGGCGAUGAUCUUUAGGGGGCCUGAGAGGGUGUUCCCCCACACUGGUACUGAGACACGGACCAGACUCCUACGGGAGGCAGCAGUGAGGAAUAUUGGUCAAUGGGUGCAAGCCUGAACCAGCCAUCCCGCGUGAAGGACGACUGCCCUAUGGGUUGUAAACUUCUUUUGUAUAGGGAUAAACCUACCCUCGUGAGGGUAGCUGAAGGUACUAUACGAAUAAGCACCGGCUAACUCCGUGCCAACCGCCGCGGUAAAAC
rnacentral:rRNA from 1 species